ACGCUCGACACCUACGGAAGGCAGCAGUCGGGAAUAUUGCGCAAUGGAGGAAACUCUGACGCAGUGACGCCGCGUAUAGGAAGAAGGUUUUCGGAUUGUAAACUAUUGUCGUUAGGGAAGAUACAAGACAGUACCUAAGGAGGAAGCACCGGCUAACUAUGUGCAGCAGCCGCGGUAAUCUGAGCGGGCUGGCAAGGC
rnacentral:rRNA from 1 species